GCCUCUGUGGAUGAAUGUAAAUCACCUCUGGCCAAUGUCAAAGCCCCAAUAUUGGAUGAAGAGGAUGAUGUGGGUUCGAAUCCCACCAGAGGCA